AACACUGCCAUGACGACAAGUCAUAGAGGGAAGGACUCUCUCUAUUCAGUAUGGUUCUAGAAAGGUUAGAGGGACGUCUACAGGAACUAGAUGCUGACAGACCACGUCUGAAAAGGCAAGCACAGAGCAGAGAAUAAACUCGGAGAGGAGGGACAGGUUUCGACCGAGCUCUUUCGAACAGCAAGGGCACAUUACUUUAACGUCCAAAAUCAGUGUCACGAACAGACAACCAAGUGCUUUGAUGUGCAAAACUAUUCUCUCCUGCUGAUACCAAGAUAAAAGGCCAGGAACCCAUAGGCUUCUAGGAGGGAAGAGGAUCCUAUACUGACAGCAGGAGAGGAAAGAAGGACCUCCAGUCUAAACCUUGAUGAAAGCUUAGGAGAUGCUACUGUUGAAGUCUUAGCCUCAGAACUGUGAGAGCACAGGUAUGUUUAUCUACAGUACCACAGAGAAGGGGUGUAUUGUCUUAUGCGCCAAUAGGUAGCUACAAAAGCUAGAGAACUCACAAGAAGUUUGUUAAUAUAUUUAGAGAGAUGAAUCUGUUCAAAGUGACACCAAGUAAAUUUCUAAUUCUAAAGUCAUGCCAUUUAUAAAACUCCAUUUCAUUUGAAAUUCUGUUCUAGAUAUUUGAGGGAAAUUAUAUACUGUAAUUACUCAGUAGCUUUUCCUAGAGAGUAACUGAUUUACUAAGUAAGAAAAUUACAGUAAACUGUAGUAUUUGGGAAAUGUCUUCUUUGAGUCAUUUCCUGAUUUAUAAACUAGCAAAGAAAAGUAACUUGGCUUCUAGUAACUAGGCGAACAGGCAACAAUUAAGAAAUACCAGUUCAUAAAUUGAGUUCUAUGAGAGUCAGUGAAUAUUCAGUUAUACAGAGGGUGAAACAGUUUUAGUCUCAAAAGUUCUGCAUAAUAUUUUUAGUGUUUUGAUCAUAGAAAAUAAAUGAGAAAACCGAGAAGGUAUUCUUAGUCAUUGUUAUUUCCAAUGUCAAAUUUAUAAUACAAUACACAUAUAUCAUGGAAAUGAUAUGGAUGAUCAUAUAAAAUUCACAGAUCCAAAUAAAACGGUGAAAACUAAACUCCGAUUGUGUUUUGGUGUGUGCACUGUUCCGUGGUGGUGUAAGGAAGGCAGCUCAGCAGUUAAGUGCACGUACUCUUCUUGCAGAAGACACAAGUUUGGUUUUCUGAACCCACAUGGCAGGUAACAGCAGCAACUGAAGUUCCAGGUGACCCCCUCUCAUGAAGUCCAAGGGAGCUGCAUGUUCAUGGUGCACAGACAUAGGCGAAAUACUCAUAUGGAUAAAAUUAAAAUAAACAGAU
ensembl:lncRNA